rnacentral:pre_miRNA from 11 species
ACAUGGUGGGCCUAGGUGUGUGUGUGUGUGUGUGUGUGUGUGUGUGCGCACGCGCGCACGCACAUGCGCAAA